rnacentral:lncRNA from 12 species
AAACUAGCAGUUGAUUGGAGUUUGACAUAGCCCAGGUCUCGGGCUCUGAAAGCCUCGAACUUACUUACUCCUCCAGUAUGGAGCAAAAUGGGAAACCGGGCGCUCUCCUCAGUGCCAGUCUUCUGGACGAUCUGACUGUUCAGGCUGCACGGGCGGGGGCGGGGGCGGGGCGGGGGCGGUGCUCCCCGUUUCCUUCCUACCGCGUCGUUGUUCUUCUGAGGGCUGCAUUUCAUUACGGAGAGAACUCGGGUUAUUUGCUUUCUAGUAGCCGGCUCUUUCCGAGUUAUUCCCCCCGGCGCCUUCCCUCUGCCGACACACAAAGGCCUGUCUCCCGCUGGACCACAUCUUUGGCUCCCGGUGCGCGCGGCCUCCCACCCCGAGGAAAGCAAGAUCCUCAAAUCUCCAGGGGCCACAAAAGUCGGAGGGAACCCGAAGCAUCCUGACUUUCUAUCUGUCCCUUCAGAAGUCAUCGACAGGGUGAUGCAGAAUCCCAAAGGAUCUCAAUGCCAAGCGGUCCAGACAGAUGGAUGUGAGGACCAGAAGGGUUCUAAGGAUGCUCUGUAUCCUGCUCGAGUCUCUGUAGACAUGCAGGCCUCCUCCAUCUGUGGAAACGACUUCAAUUUCUCAGGCUCUCAUUUUAGCCUCCCCGAAAACAGCGUAACUUGCGGCAAAAAGAUUUGAGUUAGCUCUUAGGAGGGACAUUUUUACUGCAAGAAUGUGAGGCAUGGAAUACUCAAUCAGAUUUUAGCAUGUCUUGCUCCAAGGAUAUUUAAGUGAGAGCAGAGAUUGUGAAUUUUUUUUUCCUGGGGUUAUAAGAACUGUUCCGCUUUGAACCAGAUGACUCCUCAAAAGUGGCAAACUUCGCAAGAUUUAUUGGUAAAGACAGCUGCCUACUCUGGCAAGGAGAAUGAAAAAUAUGCCGGCAUCCACCAUAAAGCAAGUUAACACCCCAUUAUGAUCACAACCUAGAACGGCUCUUCUGCGACAGGAGGUUGGACUCCGUGGUAUACACAGUAUACUUCCAUGAUCUUCCUUUAUCGAUUCAUGCUGCCAGGAGAUACCCGGGUGUGUUUCUGAGCAUCAGGGCAGAUUCAUGGGCCAGAGCAAUAGGUCCUAUAGAAUUCAAAAGCAGCGUAAUCUUUUGGAGCAGGAAAGCAUGCUAAGCUACUUUCGGUCCUGGACAAGUGAGGUUUUGUGCUGGUCUAUCAGAGGCCCUGGAAAGUCUGUCUGCCUCAAACAUCUGCUGUCUUCAACCCUGUCCAUUGCAGAGACAGAGUUUUGGGGUUUUUUUUUAUUCCAUAUUUGAACCAGUCUUUAAGACAUUGCAUCUACAGUUACACCUGCAAAGGGUAAAGCUUCAUCUGUUGGUACCAAUUCCUCUGCUUGGAUCUAUCCACAUUUUGGAGAGGUGGUGAGUACCUACCCUACGGAGUUACCUAGGAUGAGCUAGCAGAAAUCAUAUCCUCCCAAGGACUAAACUGGGAAAGGGUGUGUGUGUGUACACAUAUGUGUGAGUGAGAGGAAGAGAGAAAGAAGGAAUAAGGAUAUGGAUGAGGACCAUGAAGACAAAGAGUAUGGAUGUAGCGCAGCAAUGCAAAAAAAAAAACCUAUUCCGUGUCGCAGUUGUGUUUGGUUCAGGGGCAGUGUUACCCUAAUUGUGCCUAGCCCUGCCAUGUAUUCGUUUUUGACUUUGGAAAGAUGAGGAUCUAGACACUGAGCUGCCAGAAGGUCAAUGUGGGAUGAUGAUGAGAAAAGCCAUGGCAGUUUUAGGAACCCUGGUGGGAUAGGGAGGCAGGGUCAAAUAUUUCUCUAAGGAGGAUCACAAAAAUCUGUCACCAGUGCAAUGAACGAAAAAGGAAGCUCUGAAAGGCAGCUGUUCCGUCACUAUGAUAGGCACAGCCCUGCACAUGCGAUGCCAGAGCCUGCCCACACAAAAACGACAGCACUCACAGGAAUGUACACCUAUAUAUGCACAUAUUCACAGAAAUGCAAUUAGCCACGAGAGCUAUGUGUGUGAUCAGCUGGCUCCUUUCCUUAUAAAGAACAAAAGAAUAUGCAGUGUCAAAGGGGAAAUAAAGAGUUCUAACUCAUUUCUGGAAACA